UACGUAGGGUGCGAGCGUUGUCCGGAAUUAUUGGGCGUAAAGGGCUCGUAGGCGGUUUGUCGCGUCAGGUGUGAAAACUCGGGGCUUAACCCCGAGCCUGCUUCUGAUACGGGCAGACUAGAGGUAUGCAGGGGAGAACGGAAUUCCUGGUGUAGCGGUGAAAUGCGCAGAUAUCAGGAGGAACACCGGUGGCGAAGGCGGUUCUCUGGGCAUUACCUGACGCUGAGGAGCGAAAGUGUGGGGAGCGAACAGG
rnacentral:rRNA from 1 species